AGUCACUGACAUUAGAUACCCGUGUAGUCCAGGGUGUAAACGCUGCAGACUUGGUGUUGGGAACCCUUCGGGGGUGCUCAGUGCCGGAGAGAAGUUGUUAAGUCUGCUACUUGGGGAGUACGUCCGCAAGGAUGAAACUUAAAGGAAUUGGCGGGGGAGCACCGCAACGGGAGGAGCGUGCGGUUUAAUUGGAUUCAACACCGUAAAACUCACCAGGGAAGACUGUUACAUGAAAGCCAAGUUGAAGACUCUGCUAGAUUUUCAG
rnacentral:rRNA from 1 species